GACGAACGCUGGCGGCGUGCUUAACACAUGCAAGUCGAACGCUGAAGCUCAGCUUGCUGGGUGGAUGAGUGGCGAACGGGUGAGUAACACGUGAGUAACCUGCCCUCUUCUUUGGGAUAACGCCCGGAAACGGGUGCUAAUACUGGAUAUUCACUGAUUCUCGCAUGGGGGUUGGUGGAAAGGUUUUUUCUGGUGGGGGAUGGGCUCGCGGCCUAUCAGCUUGUUGGUGGGGUGAUGGCCUACCAAGGCUUUGACGGGUAGCCGGCCUGAGAGGGUGACCGGUCACAUUGGGACUGAGAUACGGCCCAGACUCAUACGGGAGGCGGCAGUGGGGAAUAGUGCACAAUGGGCGAAAGCCUGAUGCAGCGACGCGGCGUGAGGGAUGGAGGCCUUCGGGUUGUAAACCUCUUUCGCUCAUGGUCAAGCCGCAGCUUUGGGUUGUGGUGAGGGUAGUGGGUAAAGAAGCGCCGGCUAACUACGUG
rnacentral:rRNA from 1 species